GUGUGUAUGUGUGGUCAAGCAGCGGAGCUUUUAUUAUGCCACAGUCGAUUGCUUCCACUCCUUCCGGUCGUUCGUAUGUGGGGUAAAGCAGCGCUGUUUUAUCAUCCUAGAUAC